GUUCAAUUAUAAGAAAGGCAAUUUGAAGGCUUUAAAUACAAUGUUAUAUAAUUAACUCACUCUAUGGUUAGCCACAAAUUGUGUCCAAGAUGACGUCUCAACAAAAUGUUCCUGGUGAUCGUAAUGACCUUGCAGUUUUCCUGUAACGGAUACGUGAGAGAGAGGGAAAGGUAGCGAUGAUACGAUGUUUUAACGUUCUUAUAAGGUUAAAGAUGAAUAAUCCUCCUAGACUGGAACACAUAAACUGAUUAAGAAUAUAAUCAAACUAAAUACAUAAAUUGAGGAACGGCGUAACAGAAUACUCCCCGUCUGAUGUCUAUCUGAUAUCACUAUUCCAUAACUAAAUCGCAUAUGAAUAUAUGAAAUAAAUAAAUCCAAACAUUAAUUGAUUAUGUACAAGAGUAAUGUCCACUAUUGGUCGUAUGAGAAAUAUCAACUUACGACCUUUCAAUAUAAAGUUUCCAGAAUAGAUUAAUUCCACGGGAAACUUGGUUCGGCACAGUCACUUGUCCUUAGAGAUAGUAGGAACUGUUUUCUCCAACGUUGUUAGACGGCGACGACGGUUGAAGGUGGUCCUCCGGUGGGUAUGACGAGAGCUAAUACUUGAUCCUCUUUCGGUUUGCCGAAAUGUCACAUCUUUUUGAGUAUUAGACGAAAUUAAGCGUUUCGUCCUAACGUUCCAUCCUGCUGAUUCAUUUGUUCUAUCUGUGAAGUGGGGUCCUCUAUGUUCGAGAUGGUCCUAGGCGUUGUUCAAGGACGUGGUGUGCCUCUAUAAGGUCUCUUCCAAUUAGGAGUAGAAUUUGACAACAUUCCUCUAGUGGUUGAAUGCUUCCUCUGAGUUCUGUCAGAUGAGGAUGAUGCAUUGCAACUUCAGGAGUAGGAAUUUCGUCUCGAUUAUUGGGAAUAUUAUUACAUUCAAUUAAUGUAGGCAUAUCAAAUUGUACGUCACUAUGUACAGAUUUUAUGACGAAAUCUUUUCCUCUUUUCCCGGAAGUAGCUACUCUGCCGGAGCAUGUUGUAAGAGAGUAGUUUUCAGGUUUUUCCCAAACGUUGAAAAGACUGAAGAAUUCGGGCGAGGCAAGAGACCGGUUGCUUUGGUCGUCAAUAAUGGCGUACAUCCUGAUAAUUUUAUCUGUCUUGUCCUUGUGGUACACGUCCACAGGUAAUAUCUUGGCAUAAGAUUUCUCGCUCUUAUGAUCUUUGUAGAUCUCUGUGCAGAUCGAACUUACAGAGGUUAACUUUGUUUCAGCGGACUCUGUCUGCUCCCCGCCGUAGACUUGUGUUAGCUCCCCGCCGUAGGCUUGUCUGGGCGAGCUAAACUGGGAACUUUCAGAUUGUUGUGGUCUAGUGAUGUGAAGUGCUGUGGUAUGUCGUUCACUUCCACAUUCGUUACAACUGAUACUUGCGUUGCAGUCCCGACUUCUGUGUGUGGUUGACUCACAACACUUGUAGCACACAUUGUUUUGUCUUAACAGUUCCUUGCGUUCCUCGAUUGGUUUGGCUCGGAAUGCUCGGCAUUCAUUCAAGGUAUGCUUUGUCUUGUGUAGGAUACACAGAUCUUGUUGUUGACUGCUGUCUUCAGUUUGCUGUUCAACAGCCGUCUUAUGGACGUUGACUUUAGAGUACGUCUGAGAUGUGAAGCUUGGCGUAUAGAGUCUUUUGUAUUUGGUGUUACUUUUGAGCCAAAGAUGAACCCAGGAUCGUUCUUAAUUUUGCUAAUUUCCCUGAUGAAGGCAGAGAAUUCUGUGAAAGGUGGAAAGGCAACUUCAUAUUUAGACUUGUAUCUUGAAGCCCUUGUAAUCCACUUUUCUUGGAGUCCGUAUGGCAGUUUUUCCACAAUAGGAUUUAUCCCGGACGAAGAAUCGAAAUAAGCAAGCAAACAUCCCAGCUUGGGAUUUUCCUUGUGAUAUUCAAUUUCUGAUAGAAUAUCAGACAAGUCAUAAAGACGUGCGUUAUCUUUGUUCGUCAAGGUAGGGAAGUUGACGAGUUUACUUGUGAGAGAGGCCUCCAACAUUUCUGGAGCACCAUAUCGCUCAUCCAAUCUCUGCCAUAAACCUCUGUAGGCUCUUGUUGGGUUGUUGGCAUUUGAUGCCCUUAUACUCAUGGCAUGUUUAGUAGACUCUGGACCGAGCCACUUGAUCAGUAAGUCGAUCUGUUCUGAGUCAGAGACUUGUAACUCAUCAGUCACGUUCUUGAAGCUCGCUUUCCAAGUAUGGAAGGAUUCUGCCCGAUCGUUAAAGCUUGUUAAUCAGGAGAAAAGCAGGUCCUUACGUAAGAGAAACCUAGUUAUCUCCGAUAUAGGGUUGAUUUGUUGCUGGUGUGCAACAGGGGUCUCUUCUUUAACACCUUGAUUUUGGUGUAAGACAGGGAUCUCUUCUAUAACGUCUUGUUUUGUGCGUAAGACAGGAAUCGCUUCUUUAACACCCUGUUUUUGGUGUUCAGUAGGGCUCUCAUCUGAAAGGCCUAGUUUUUGUAUGCCGGUUACUAAUCCCAGAUCUGGGAUAAGGUAACUUCCGGUGACUUAGUAUCGGAAGGCAAGACAGCAGAUGUCUGUGACAGCAAGUUCAGUGCCACGGAUGGCACGAACGCUGGUGCUUCGUGACUCAGCUCGAUCUUAACAGGAAUUUGUUUUUUCUUUUGAGGUCCUGUUACUUCCUUUACAACAGUUGAUACAGAAGUGUAUUGACGAACUCUUGUACACGCUGGAGCGGGUCUUCCUUUUCGUCAGGGAGAUCGUUAAACGCUUGGCUAUCAUCGUAUUCCAUGAUACGAGCCUCGGCUUCUGCGGCUGCAGCUUCUCUCUGUGCUUCAAGAAGGUUACAUUUGGCUUUAAGCUCGGCCCUUUCCCGGCUUACUCGUGUGGCUUCCUGUUCCAUUUCAGCCUUUUUGCGUGCUGCAUGUGCUGCAUAUGUUCCAUUUCAAUUUGUCUGAACAUGGCUUGUUCCUCUAACAUUGCUUCCUGUUGUAGGAUAAGGGCAUGUUUUUCUACAAAGGCUAUUUUAGACUUGUCAGCCUCUGCCUUGGCACACUUUCUCCGUGCUAGGCUUGACAUGUUAGAGCUACCACUGCGGGAGGUUUUCUUACCCCUUGAGGUCUUUGUUUUAGUUUAUUUGGCCUUUGUUAGGGCGAGGCGAUGCUCGUGUAGUUUUUCCAUAACCAGUUCCACUUUGGACAGACGAAAAUCCAAAGAGAGUUUACAUGCAUCAAUUUCUUUUUGACUCUCCAAUGUUCUGGUCCUUUUCAGAAAGUCUAGGUAUUCAUCUGUGAGCCUACGAUAAUUAUUACAGGCUUUAACAAGUUUUGUCCUGGACUGUUAGGAGUUGCUGGAGCUCGUUAGGAGGCGUUGUGACUUCCAAUAACUGGGAUUCAAUGUCUGUCCAGAGAGCCUCUUGUUCCUGACAGAACUUGUCACGUUUUUCAGUGAAAGCUCCUUUUCCUUUUUCCGUGAGGUCACGUACUCGCCUAGCCUCGGGAUUUUCAUCUGACUGUUGUAUUAGACGGAUUUUGUAAUAGUUCUAAAUCUGGGAAAUUUCCCUCUGGGGAAUGUAUCUCUCCUUGUUGUUCCACAUGACUGGGAUCCAUGUUGACUCAACGUUGUUGGGUUUCUGCCUUGUACACACAAGUUAUGUAGUCCACUAUCAGUGUAAAGGUUUGAACGUUGUUACGUUGUCGUUCCUUGUCUGGAUAUGUAAAGACAGGUUGUCGUCAAUUUACUGUACGUCAAGGGAUGACGCAUACAUGCAGGGCUCAGCAGGUAGGUUGUUAUGUAGCUGUAUAACUAACGUGGAGUGGCGUUAUCUGUGAGACACAACAGGCAAGUUGUAGAAGUUUAACCGACGAUUGGGCUCAAGCAACAAGACUAUCAGGUGCUGAUAAUUUUAUCUCAAACCAAUCUAACAAAUGGUAAAAAGCUGAAAAACAAAUAAAAUACAAUUUUACAAUGUGUUGAAUUAAUGUUUCUAGUGUAUAAAAUGUCCAAAAUAAUUGAUAGCACAGUCCGUUGAAUCCGAUAAAUGUUGUACUUUCCAGAACGGUUAAGUUUCCAAUAUUUCACGGAGAAAAGGUUCAAUUAUACGAAAGGCAAUUUGAAGGCUUUAAAUACAAUGUUAUAUAAUUAACUCACUCUGUGGUUAGCCACAAAUUGUGUCCAAGAUGACGUCUCAACAAAAUGUUCCUGGUGAUCGUAAUGUCCUUGCAGUUUUCCUGUAACGGAUACGUGAGAGAGAGUGAAAGGUAGCGAUGAUACGAUGUUUUAACGAUCUUAUAAGGUUAAAGAUGAAUAAUCCUCCUAGACUGGAAC
rnacentral:lncRNA from 1 species